UUUUUCUGUUUUCUGGCAUUG
ensembl:piRNA 21ur-11301 ncRNA